rnacentral:rRNA from 1 species
UACGUAGGGCGCAAGCGUUGUCCGGAAUUAUUGGGCGUAAAGAGCUCGUAGGCGGUUUGUCGCGUCUGCCGUGAAAACCCGAGGCUUAACCUCGGGCCUGCGGUGGAUACGGGCAGACUAGAGGUAGGUAGGGGAGAAUGGAAUUCCCGGUGUAGCGGUGAAAUGCGCAGAUAUCGGGAGGAACACCGGUGGCGAAGGCGGUUCUCUGGGCCUUACCUGACGCUGAGGAGCGAAAGCGUGGGGAGCGACACGAGGAUUAGAUACCCGUGG